GUGGAUGUAGCUCAGUCGGUAGGGCGUCUGACUAUUAUUGUGGUGGUCGCAAGUUCGACCCCUGGUAGGAUCUUCG